GCUGCCUCUCGGAGGCUAGCGGUUCCCCUUGGCCUCUGUGGAACCCCGCUUCCAUGUCCCCAGUGGACACAGCAUCCCGGAACCUCCAGGCCCAUGGCCACUAGCUUGAGGUCGCCCGCUUUCACCUCAUGUUCUUCCGCCUCGACAGACACACGAGGAGGGAGUGUGCGGCACUUGUGAAGAUGCUUCUCUGUGCAAGAGGUGCCUUUGCGGCGCGGGGCCAGGGCCCAGUGUCCCCGCGGGGUUGGGGCCUCGGUGGGAGGCGGGCCUGUGUCUCAGGAACUCGCUCCUUCGCCAAAAGGAGCUGGCAUGUCACAGGAGGUGUGGAGGACACCCAAGACUGAGCCUUGCUCCUGGACAGCAGCCAGGGACAGCCAUGAGGAAGGACAGUCCUUGGAUUCAAAGGGGAUCCCACAGGGCCGACUGUGGCACAAGCUGCCCAAGGAUAUUUUGCUCAAGUCCAUGGCAUCUCUCAGCUGAUAAAAGCAUUUCUACAGAAGAAAGAAUGUUAUUGUCAAAUUCUAAAUCUUGGGACUCAAUGGAGACCACCUUCUGGAGAUUAAAGGCACAUUUUCUGGUCCUGCACCUUAGAGUUUCUGAUUUUGCCAUCAUAGUGUCCGAAGCUCAUGACCAAGAAAGAAUUUUUCAGCUGUCUCUGGUGCUGCAAAAAGGCCUCCCUCGGUCAGGAGUCCUGGGAUACUUGGCAAGGUAAUCUGACUGCGCUGGAUACUUUUCCACAGUAGACCAGUUGAUCCCACGGGAACCCCUGGGUGGCCAAGGGGUAGGAGGAAGAGCUGACGUUCUCCGGCACCAUGGAAUCUGGCAAUGCACUGUGGACAGAAGCCCCCACCUCCACCUGCAGGCCUGAUGCCCCAAGAGGGUAUGAGAACGUAAUUCUUCUUAGAACUAAUAAUGGAAUUUCGCAGUGAAACAGUAUACGGGAUAAACACAUAAAGACGUCUCUGAGGCUGGCUUCUUGCCUGGCGUCUCAGGAUCCCGCAACCUUUCCCUGGUGGGCACAGCACCUCAGAACCUCCAGGCCCAUGGCCACUGUACUGAGGACGCCCUCUUUCACAUCCUG